UACGGAGGGGACUAGCGUUGUUCGGAAUUACUGGGCGUAAAGCGCACGUAGGCGGAUUUGUAAGUCAGGGGUGAAAUCCCGGGGCUCAACCUCGGAACUGCCUUUGAUACUGCAAAUCUCGAGUCCGGAAGAGGUGAGUGGAAUUCCUAGUGUAGAGGUGAAAUUCGUAGAUAUUAGGAAGAACACCAGGGGCGAAGGCGGCUCACUGGUCCGGUACUGACGCUGAGGUGCGAAAGCGUGGGGAGCAAACAGG
rnacentral:rRNA from 1 species